UGGGCCAUCGUCCAACGGCAGGACUCUGGUUUUUGGUACCAGCUAUCUAGGUUCGAAUCCUGGUGGCCCAGCCA
rnacentral:tRNA from 1 species